rnacentral:rRNA from 1 species
UCUUUUCCUUGUGUGCCAGCAGCCGCGGUAAUACGGAAGGUCCGGGCGUUAUCCGGAUUUAUUGGGUUUAAAGGGAGCGUAGGCCGGAGAUUAAGCGUGUUGUGAAAUGUAGAUGCUCAACAUCUGAACUGCAGCGCGAACUGGUUUCCUUGAGUACGCACAAAGUGGGCGGAAUUCGUGGUGUAGCGGUGAAAUGCUUAGAUAUCACGAAGAACUCCGAUUGCGAAGGCAGCUCACUGGAGCGCAACUGACGCUGAAGCUCGAAAGUGCGGGUAUCGAACAGG